GGAAUUUCAUCAAAUAAAACAGAGCCCUAACGGUGCUGCAAAACGACUGCCGGAAGCUCGGAAUCGGAACUGUGCAUGGAGGUUCUAGGUAUGGAUGAAUCUAAAGUGGUGAAGAAUAUUUGAAGUUUAUUGGAAUUGUGUCUAGUAUUUUAUAGAUUAGAGUUGGAAUUGCGUCUAGAUGGUGUAUAUACAACAGAAAGAGAACAGUUGAGAAAAAUAUUAUUAGACUACAUAAACU
rnacentral:lncRNA from 1 species